UACGUAGGGUGCGAGCGUUGUCCGGAAUUAUUGGGCGUAAAGGGCUCGUAGGCGGUUUUGCAAGUCUGGUGUGAAAUCCCCAGGCUUAACCUGGGAACUGCAUUCGAGACUGCAUUGCUAGAGUAUGGGAGAGGGAAGUGGAAUUUCCGGUGUAGCGGUGAAAUGCGUAGAUAUCGGAAGGAACAUCAGUGGCGAAAGCGACUUCCUGGACCAAUACUGACGCUCAUGUGCGAAAGCGUGGGGAGCAAACAGG
rnacentral:rRNA from 1 species